rnacentral:rRNA from 1 species
UACGGAGGGGGCCAGCGUUGUUCGGAAUCAUUGGGCGUAAAGGGCGCCUAGGUGGCGGAGCAAGUCGGAUGUGAAAGCCCUCGGCUCAACCGGGGAAUUGCAUCCGAAACUGCUUUGCUUGAGUCCUGGAGAGGGUAGCGGAAUUCCCAGUGUAGCGGUGAAAUGCGUAGAUACUGGGAGGAACACCGGUGGCGAAGGCGGCUACCUGGACAGGUACUGACACUGACGCGCGAAAGCGUGGGGAGCAAACAGG